rnacentral:rRNA from 1 species
GAUGAACGCUGGCGGCGUGCCUAACACAUGCAAGUCGAACGAAGCGAUUGGAAGUUUUCGGACAGAAGAUUGACUGAGUGGCGGACGGGUGAGUAACGCGUGGGUAACCUGCCUUAUACAGGGGGAUAACAGUUAGAAAUGACUGCUAAUACCGCAUAAGCGCACGGGAUCGCAUGAUCCUGUGUGAAAAGCCGAGACGGUAUAAGAUGGACCCGCGUCUGAUUAGCUAGUUGGUGAGGUAACGGCCCACCAAGGCGACGAUCAGUAGCCGACCUGAGAGGGUGACCGGCCACAUUGGGACUGAGACACGGACCAAACUCCUACGGGAGGCAGCAGUGGGGAAUAUUGCACAAUGGGGGAAACCCUGAUGCAGCGACGCCGCGUGAGUGAAGAAGUAUUUCGGUAUGUAAAGCUCUAUCAGCAGGGAAGAAAAUGACGGUACCUGACUAAGAAGCCCCGGCUAACUACGUGCCAGCCGCCGCGGUAAUAC